CGAACGCUGGCGGCGUGCUUACCACAUGCAAGUCGAACGGAAAGGCCCUGCUUUUGUGGGGUGCUCGAGUGGCGAACGGGUGAGUAACACGUGAGUAACCUGCCCUUGACUUUGGGAUAACUUCAGGAAACUGGGGCUAAUACCGGAUAGGAGCUCCUGCUGCAUGGUGGGGGUUGGAAAGUUUCGGCGGUUGGGGAUGGACUCGCGGCUUAUCAGCUUGUUGGUGGGGUAGUGGCUUACCAAGGCUUUGACGGGUAGCCGGCCUGAGAGGGUGACCGGCCACAUUGGGACUGAGAUACGGCCCAGACUGCUACGGGAGGCAGCAGUGGGGAAUAUUGCACAAUGGGCGGAAGCCUGAUGCAGCAACGCCGCGUGCGGGAUGACGGCCUUCGGGUUGUAAACCGCUUUCGCCUGUGACGAAGCGUGAGUGACGGUAAUGGGUAAAGAAGCACCGGCUAACUACGUG
rnacentral:rRNA from 1 species